AUGACUUGUUUUGGAUGCAGUACAAUUCAGUUCGUGGGCGCGCCAGCAACGACUGCAGCAAGGCAGCCCACCCCAAAAUGCAAGCGGCAACGACAGCAACACAUCCCACCCCAAAUGCGAGCGACGGCGAGCAUUGGCCAAUGCAGUGCAUGCGUACACUUCAGCUUGUCUGUUUCGUUUGAAGAUUUUAUUGCUUAUAAUGGCAGCGAUUCAUUUGUAAAAAAGUGGUGGAACUUCGAUGCAGCUCAUUCCAGAAAACUCUGUGGUUCAGUUCAAAUAUUGAGUCUCGGUUUUGUUGUUCUUGCAGUAGGGGGUAACAUCAAAAGGCAAAAAAAGAAGUGA
rnacentral:rRNA from 1 species